GCACCAGCUGGCUUCUGAAAUGUCAAAAAUCACACCAUCAGUUUAAAACUAACCCUGCUCCGCACAUGCUAUGAAUUGGAGAGGAGUCUGGCAGUGCACUCAAGAGUGAGACUAGGUGGUCACAUCUCUGCAGAUCUCUAUGAAGUGGCGAACCAGAUGCCUGUGGGAAACAUGCAAACAGGACCACAGCACAAGAGCAAUCUCUUCUCUUAUGGUUUGCAGCAUCAGCAUGAGAGUUUGCAACUCCUUGGAAGCAACACUACUACAGUGGGCUUGUCUCUGUUCAGCUCAGGCAAGUACAGCAGAGCACUUUCCCCACCCAAGAACUUCUGGAUUGAACAUCAACCUUGACAUGGCUGGCUGAUUUAUUAAAAGGGAGUAAUCCAAAGAGA